rnacentral:lncRNA from 1 species
UCCUCUUCCUGCUACACAUAGUAUUAGCCUACGUAAGGUCAUUACGGCGCCGUUUCCCUUUUUAAUUGGCGUAGUUCAACUCAUCAUCCACCCAAGUUCAUUUCGUUCAAAGCUAUAAAUAACCCCUCAAACCAUUCAACUUUCCCACCACCACUCCUCACUCCUUCAACUCAUUAACCUCUCUCUCUCUCUCUCCUUCAACUCAUUAACCUCUCUCUCUCUCUCUCUCUCUCUCAUUUUCAUCCGCAAAUGGCGAACCGUAGAAGCCUCUUUUCUCUCUCACUUAUCUUUGUGUUCAUGAUCAACUCAGCCAUAGCCACUCCAGUCACAUACAAUGUGGCCAGUUUAGGAGCCAAAGCAGAUGGCAAGACUGACUCCACAAAAGCCUUCCUCUUUGCAUGGGCUAAAGCUUGUGCCUCGAUGAAUCCCGGUGUCAUUUAUGUGCCGGCAGGAACGUUCUUUCUUCGCGAUGUGGUGUUCAGUGGGCCUUGCAAGAACAAUGCCAUCACCUUCCGCAUUGCCGGAACCCUUGUGGCCCCGUCGGAUUACCGGGUCAUCGGUAAUGCAGCUAACUGGAUUUUCUUUCACCAUGUAAACGGGGUUACCAUAUCAGGUGGAAUUCUUGACGGCCAAGGCACGGCCUUGUGGGCUUGCAAGGCCUCUCAUGGCGAGAGUUGUCCCAGCGGAGCAACGGUAAUUAAUUCACUACUUUAAAUAUCAUAUUCAUGACACCAUUAAAUAUCAAAUUCAUGACACCAUUAUUUUGUGCUUCAUUAUUAGUGAGAAUUUUAAAGGUCAACGUACGUACAAUUUGCUUUAUUAUUUGCUACCAAUUGAAUUGAGGGUUUAUAAAAUAAGUUUAAACUCUACAGAACGUAAUCAAAUGGACAUGAUAAAUUGUACCACAAGCUUAGCUUGAUCAAGUAAUUUCGUGUAUAUAUGUGCAGACUUUGGGUUUUUCCGACUCAAACAACAUCGUGGUGAGUGGAUUGGCAUCCCUAAACAGCCAAAUGUUCCACAUAGUCAUCAACGACUGCCAAAAUGUGCAAAUGCAAGGUGUCAGGGUUUCUGCUUCCGGGAACAGCCCUAACACCGAUGGCAUUCAUGUCCAAAUGUCAUCUGGUGUCACAAUCCUCAACUCCAAGAUUGCAACCGGUGACGAUUGUGUCUCAAUUGGCCCCGGAACCUCAAAUUUGUGGAUAGAAGGCGUUGCUUGUGGACCUGGCCAUGGAAUUAGGUACGACAUCAAAAUUAUAUAUUUAUCCAUGAUUGAUCAAACUAGCUAAAUGCAUACUAUUUCAUAAUAUAUGUUAUAAUGUAUAUCUUUUUUCUUCGUUGCUUAAUGACAUUUGAACUUAGGACAUCUUUCAAUAAAGUGGAGAUUAAUUGGUUGCUAGUAGAGAUUCAUUGCCUACAAAAAGUAUAUCUUUCUUUUGGGUGGAUGUUCUAGUUGUAAAUUUAACAUUGCUUUAUUUGAUGGUUCAGCAUUGGAAGUCUAGGCAAGGAGCAAGAAGAGGCCGGUGUACAAAAUGUAACAGUUAAAACGGUUACCUUUACUGGUACUCAGAAUGGUCUAAGAAUCAAGUCAUGGGGGAGGCCAAGCACUGGGUUUGCUAGAAAUAUUCUUUUCCAACAUGCUACAAUGGUCAAUGUCGAAAAUCCUAUUGUCAUAGAUCAACAUUAUUGCCCCGACAACAAAGGGUGCCCUGGUCAGGUAAGAUAUCAUUCUUGCUCUAACGGUCAAUUCCCAGAGUUUAAUAUUACAACUAAAUUUUCUCUUCUUCACUUUCAUAGUGUAACGUUUUUGAUAAAAACGUUGGCAUCGCCAAAUUAUAACUGUCUAAUUUCGAAACAUAUCAAAAGCUUUCUUGGGCUUCCACCUAGAAGAGCCAAUAAUUUUAGACCCAAAGCAAAUCCAAUAACUCCUUCUUCCAUGGGCUUGCUCUCCUACUACUUACAAAGGUCGAGCCUUGCCCAUUGUAACCUUUGUAACUUAUUAAUUUCAUUGUAUGUGCAAUGAGAUUGAGGGUUGUAGCUUAAGUGGUUAACAAUAUUUACUCAUGUAUUCGAAGUUCUAGAUUUAAUUCCCCUCUUUUCCAAUACCAUUUUUAUCAAAAUGACUUCAUCGUAGCUUAGCCAAAAAAGCAUUAAACUUCCCAUUAAGCCGAAUUACCAUGCUAUAAUGCUUGUUCACCUUCUGUUUUAUCAAAAGCUGGAAAUCUGACUUCCUAUUGUUUUUUUUCUUUUGUCAAUUUUGUUUUUCGAUAGGUUUCCGGAGUUCAAAUUAGCGAUGUGACAUACGAAGACAUACACGGUACAUCAGCAACAGAAGUUGCAGUAAAAUUUGAUUGCAGUCCCAAGCACCCUUGCAGCGAGAUCAAAUUGGAGGAUGUGAAGCUUACUUACAAGAACCAAGCAGCUGAGUCUUCAUGUAGCCAUGCAGAUGGAACAACUGAGGGUGUGGUUCAGCCUACAAGUUGUUUGUAGAGUGGAAAAAUAUGAACUGCUUGUAGAAGUAUUGAAAUCCAAAAGUUUGCCCUCCAGUACUAAGGACAAAUGAAAAGUGAAUUAUACGAUUUAUAUAGGAAGAAUGAGCUUGUGUUGUUGGCAGCCUACUUGGGCUUCCCUUGAGCCUGGCCGUUCAAUUAGUUUAGUUUGUUCAAACUCGUCCACUUCGAUGGGUGUUUAUGUUAUGAAUUGUUGUAAGAUUAUGUUCGGGAUACGUUAAAUUUAUAAGAUUAAAUUUUAUGUUGAUGGCUAAUGUGGCAUUUGACAUAGGAUUCAAUAUUCUAUCAAUUUAAUUCACAAUUUUAUUAUAAUCGAAGCACACAUUAAAUAGUAAAAAUUUGGUUCAAGAAACAAAAGGAUUUGAAGUCUCGCAUGAACUUUUUGGUUGGAGCAUUUUCUCAUGUCAAAUUUUACCCGUUAAAAAUUUAUUAUGAUAUUUUAACAUUUCGGUUGGAGUAUUUUUUUCAUGUCAAAUUUGACCCGUUAAAAAUUUACUAUGGUAUUUUAGCAUUUCGGUUGGAGAUGUAUAAAUCUUAAAAAUGCAUUCAAGAUGCAUUUUUGUUUCUUAAGCUUUGAGCUUUAGGUAAUUAACUUUAAAUGUUGUUGGGCACCUUGCACUAGUUGAUUAAAGAAAAAUAGACCCGAAGCAAGAUUCCUUGUAGUUGCCAAUUCGAAGUUUUCUUUAUCGCUACAUACUUACUGGUCUACAAGUUCUCUCUCUAAUACAUAAUUUGACAUAAAUAAAUACAGUGAAGAGUGCAUUGACUAAACAGAAAAAAAAACAAAAAAAGCAGCACGUAAGCAAUUACGUGCAUUUGGUGUAAAAGCUAAAGGCCUCUGAUUUAUGUAAGCAGUUACGGUAAUCAUAUUAUAUUAUAUGUAUCUUAGUUCUGCAAUUGUAACAGGAAUAAUAUUGUUUUGUUAUCCCCAAUCAAUAAUACAAUGAUACGUGAAAAAGUUAUUUAACAUGUCAUUGCGUUAUUAGCUGGGGAUAGCAAACAGUGCUAUCCCCAUUACAUGAAAGUCUUUCUCCUGCAUAUCCUAUUAUACUAUUAUAAAACUCAAUUGGUCAAUCAUAGUGAAAAAAAUAUAGUGAAAGAAAAAAGAAGAAGAAGAAAAUAUCAAUUAAGCCCCUCUUAUAUUGAACACUUCAAUAAUAAAAUAAAAAUUGCAUAUGGAGUAAAGUCAGUCAGUUAAGAUAGUAUGCUAGUUCUUUUGCACCUGAGUUCAAUUUCCUUCCCCGAACAUUUUCAAAUAAAUAAUAAUAAAAUAAAAUGUGAAUUUGAUAGUCAAUGUCGUAGUAAAAUAUGGUUUUUUAGUAUCAAUAUUAAGGAAAGCCAUUGUUCUUUCUAGCAGAAUGCCCGCCACUGCUAGAGAGAGAGAGAGAGAGAGAGCGGAAUGGCAGAAGUGAGUAACAAGCAGGUGAUACCGAGGGAGUAUGUCACUGGCUUUCCCAAAGAGUCAGACUUGUACGUGAAUAGCACUGCUACUAUCAAGUUGAAGCUUUCUGAGGCCCCCGAGCAUGAGGGUUCUUCAAAGAAACUAGUUCUAGUGAAGAAUCUUUACUUGUCCUGCGAUCCCUACCAACGACUAUUUAUGGAAAGAAUCGAAGGCCUCAGCAGCCAAUCCACUUCCUCCUAUACGCCUGGUUCUGUAAGCAAAACCCAUCAUAUAUCUUUUCCUUUCAAUUUCUGUAAACAUAUAUACCAAAUGUUAUGCUCAAAUAUAUAUUAAUUGUUAAACAUUGUUCCCUUAAAAAAAACAAUUUAUUGCAAAAUUGGAAUAUACAAGAGGUAACUCUGCACAAAUAUUAAUGACAAGAUGAGGUGGCUAAAAGCACUGUUAAUGUCUAUCAGCGCGCAAUGAGCACGAAUAACUGUGAUUAUUAAGUAGUAGGAGCUGAUAGUUGUUUUUGUUACCACAUCCUAUGCCACAAAUAUUAAUUAUUACCAAUUAUUCUUCUAGUAAUGCUUGUUUUUUUGUUGAUGGCAACAUUGGGAGGAGGGAAUCAAAUACAAGUUUGAUCAUAUGAUUAAUUUAAUUUUGUUGGUGUAAACGUGCAGCCAAUAUACGGGUAUGGAGUGGCUAAAGUUUUGGACUCUGGGCACCCAGAUUUGAAGGCAGGUGACUUAGUUUGGGGGACUACCUAUUGGGAAGAGUACAGCCGAAUCCCUGAACCCGAAGGCCUGAUCAAAAUCCAGCACACUGAUGUACCUCUAUCCUAUUAUACUGGAAUUCUUGGUAACAAGUCAAACCUAUUUUAGAUCAUGAUGAUAUGUGUUGGUUUAGAUACGUAAGUGUAUUUUUUGUAAUUUCAUUUCAGGUAUGCCUGGUUUGACCGCUUAUGUUGGUUUCUAUGAAAUUUGUUCUCCUAAGAAAGGAGAACAUGUCUUCAUUUCAGCAGCAGCUGGUGCUGUUGGUCAGCUUGUUGGACAAUUUGCAAAAUUAAUGGGUUGUUAUGUUGUUGGAAGUGCUGGCAGUAAGGAAAAGGUACGAACUUGAGAAAUCUUUGAACUUCAAAUUAAUAUUAUCUACACCAUUUUUUCUUGUUUGGGUUGUAUUUUGCUGUUGUUAUUUGGGCCAACUUUGGUGUUGGUUUGGUUUGGGGCCUCUGUUUGUGCGCUGGGACUACAAUGAGUGGAAAGUUAUAAGGGGUAAGUUAUAAGGGGUUCACUUUAUAGCCAUCAGAUCAAUCCAAGGGCUGGGGAGAAUUGAGAUAAAGUUUCACAAUUGGGUAGGUGAGGAACCCAAACCCGAAUUGAAUAUCCAGCACGUCCAAAAAGAAGAAGAAGAGGGAAACACGUUCGAAAAAGAAGAAGAAGAGGCAAGUUCGAAGUUUGAACAGAAAGAACUCAUCUCUCUAAAACCCAGAGGUCUGAGAUACCCAAUGAAGGCAACGGCUAACGACAGUUGAAGGCAACGAUUCGCCACUCCGUUCUCCAGACCCUGAAAAAGUAUUUAUUUGGAGUAGAAGGGGCAAAGGUGUGGAUUCCAAAUCAAUGAAGGGGCGAAGCAGUGGAAGGGGAAGGGGAGAAGCUAUAAUCGUUGGAAGUGGUAGGUUCCAUUUGUGGAGCAAAGAAACAGAAAGACCCCACACAGACACCUUGCAAUAACCAGCAUUUGGUGAGUAAUUUAUGGAAUUUGAGUUUAGGGUUAGAGUAAUGGUUUUCCUCAAUUUGUAGCAUAAAUUUUGUUGGAUUUGGCAUCUCUUCGUUGUGCUUGAGUUGCAUGUUAAUUUUUGCUUAGGUAUAUGUUAAAAAAAGAAUGAAAAUCAAGUCAAUAACAAGUGAAUAACAUGUCAAUAAUGAUAUGAAUAAGAUAAUGGUGUUGAAUUGGAGGAGGCCCUCAAAACCUUCCACAUUUGAAGCAGUGCAUAGUGCAGAUUAAGAAGAGGCGGUAGAAUAUAUAUAUAUAUAUAUAUAUAUAUAUUUUAUGAAGUAAAUAUGAUUUCCUUUGUUACUAAAUUUGCCUGAGAAACAUUUGAACAGAUAAUAAUAAACUCAUGAAUAGAAGUGCAAAGCAUUUGAUGAGUAAUUUAAGGAAUUUGAGUUUAGGGUUAGAGUAAUGGUUUUCCCCAAUUUGUACCAUCAAUGUUGUUGGAUUUGGCAUCUCUUAUUUGUGCUUCAAUUGCAUGUUAAUUUUUGCUUGGGUAUAUGUUAAAAAACGAAUGAAAAUAGAGUCAAUCACAUGUCAAUAACAUCUCAAUAACAUGUCAAUAACAUGUUAGUAAUGAUAUGAAUAAGAUAAUGGUGUUAAAUUGGAGGAGGCGCUCAAAACCUUCCACAUUUGAAGCAGUGCAGAGUGAAGAGUACCUCUCUGGCCCUAGAAUUUAUAUAUUUUGUGAAAUAAAUAUGAUUUCAUUUGUUACUAAAUUUGCCUAUGAGAAAUGAGAACAGAUAAUAAUAAACUCAUGAAUAAAAGUGCAAAGCAUUUGAAAUGAAGGUUGAUCUAUGACGAUUGUGGGUGACUGAAGAAAAAGCUAGAAAGAAAGAAGGAUGUGGCAAUUGCUUAGCAAGCAGAUAGCAGAGUAGAUGCUUUGCUUUGCUUCCUUCCACUAUAUUUCUUAUUUAUUUAUUUUGUGUUGUGUAUGAGAUGACAAUAAUUGUCAUGUGUGUGAAGUGCAGAACUUGCCUACAUUGCACUCACACGAGUAUGGAUCCAUAAAUAAAACACGUGAAAUUGUUUGUAAUUCACAUAAUCAUUGCAUUAACAGGUAUUUGCACAAAAUUUGUCAUAUUGCUUUGAUGAUGUUAAAGCCUAUGAUCAGUAAUCCGUAUGCUCAUGUACUUUGUAAAAUUUGUAAUGUGCCUGGUUGACUAGUUGUGAUUGUGCAAAUACGUGGCAGUAUAUGUGUUCACGUUAUUUCACAUUGUAUUUGAGGAAAUGGGAUCCAACGUGGAGCUGGUAUGGCCAGAGGCAGAGGCAUAUUCGUCACGGGUGAACAACUGCUCACAUGCAAAUUCAUCUCUAGCUGCAAUUCGAGCGAAGUUGAGUGCGGAACAAUUAGAACAAUUCAAGACAUCAUGCUUUGGCCAUCUUCUGAAUAUAGAUAAGAUUCAGUUUAGCGGGCAGAUUGUGCAUGGGGCUGUGUUGCGUAGAGUAGCGGGGCAGGGUGUGAAAGACUUGGAUGGACUGAGUUUCUUAUUAGGGUGUGACGUUGCUCAGUUCACUCGUCAGGAUUUCUGUUUGAUCACAGGGCUUCGUUUUGGGGAAGUGCCUGAAGUUUCCAGUGGAGAGAGUGAUGUAAUCAGACUUCAGAAAAGAUAUUUUAUAGACGAAGGAAUUACAUGCAAUGCUUUAGAAGAAGCAUUUAUGGGGUGCACAGAGGAAGAUGACAUCUACAAGCUAGCUCUUGUUUACUUUGCUGAGUUAGUGGUUUUGGGAAGGGACAAACAUUUGAACAUCAAUCUAAAUUACCUGACCCUUGUAGAGGACUUGGAUGCGUUCAACAGGUAUCCGUGGGGUUCGGUGUCCUUUGACAAAACCCAAGACAGUCUAUUUUCUGCACCAACAAAGUAUGUGAAAAGCUUGCAAAAUGAAGAGGGAAGAGGGAAGGGGAAAAGUAAGGUAACGGGAACAAGCCGGAGAAAUGAGAAGGGCAGGAAGGAUAAGCAUGGUGAAGCGCAAAGGAGUGGCUGGAGUUUUAAAGGUUUCACGUAUGCUUUCCAGGUACAUGGUAAUAAUGUUCAUGUGAGUUAUGUUUUGUUUUUCUUUAAAACAUAAAUAAUGACUUUUGUCCUGUGAAUUGUGUAGAUUUGGGUAUAUGAAUUAAUUCCUAGAAUGGCGGACCUGAAUUACUGCAAGGUUGUUGAUCCGACCGCUGUCCCGCGUAUUUUGCGAUGGAGAACUACUACGUCUGUUCCAGAGAUGAGAAAGUUGAACAAUUAUUUUUUCCAGAGCAAAGAGGUUUGGUUUGCAGCCCUUGGAACUAUUGAUAAGAUUGAAUGAAAUUUUGAAGUAGAAUGAUUUAAUAUGACUGUGGUUUGUAUUCUGAAACAGUCAGUUCAGUUGCGGGCGCUAUGUCCGAGUGAAGAGGAAAUGAGACAGCCAUAUUGGAGUUGGCCACAGGAUCGCCCUGAUGAGACAGCCAUAUUGGAGUUGGCCACAGGAUCGCCCUGCUGUUGUCUCGGCAGAGUCAAUUCCUUCUUUAUGUGGUGAUCUUGAUCAGUUGAACAAGGUGGUAAGCUUGUUGAGGUCCGAGUUGUUUCAAGUAAAGCGGGAAAAAGACGUCCUUCACUUAAAGGUCAUACGGAUGGAAAAACUGUUGGACCAAUGUUUAGGUCCUCAGUUUGAGCAGGAAGUAAGGAGGGACCUAGCUUUACUGAAACAGAGGACGAAGCGUUGUGUCGUCUCACAUCUAUUUAGGGGAUAUCGGGAAUUGGAUGACAUUCAAUGGGAUGAAGGGCCAAGUAACAGAAAUGAGGGAGAGGAAAAGGAAGAUGAAGGGAUUGAAGGGGGUGAAGGGCCAAGUAAUAGAAAUGAGGGAGAGGAAAAGGAAGAGGAGGGGAUUGAAGGAGAGGAAAAGGAAGAGGAGGGGAUUGAAGGGGGUGAAGUGCAAGGAAUACCAAGUGAGGUAGAGGAAGGGCAAAGGAAAAGAAGUGAAGGAGAGCAAGUGCAAGUAAAAAGUAGCAAAGGAGAGGAAGCCCAAAGACAGAGCAGUGAGGGAGAGGAAGUGAAAAGAAAAAGCAGUAAGGGAGAGAAACUGCAAAGGAAAAAAAGGGAGGGCAAGGAAGUGAAAACACAAAGAAGUGAGGAAAAGGAAGUGCAAAGAAACCAAUGUGAGAAAGAAGAUAAUGAAGUUAUGUUGCUUGGGGAUGACAUUGGCGAGAGCACGGAGGGGACACUGCUUGAGUUUACUGUCGGGGACAUUGAUUUGGAUCAACCUACAGCUGUGCUAUCUCAGUUGAACGUGUGGUUGAAUGAUAAAGGUAAAGCUGUGGCACAAGGGGUCCAAUUACGGAAAAGGAAGAGGAUCAUUCCUAUGUGGAAGAUCAUUGAAGGCAUUGAAUUGGUUCCAAAAACUGGGGCACAGACAACCGGACUGAAGAUGUUAGACCCAAUGAAGGCGAUUCCGCAUGAUGAUCUGGUGAAUUUGCUGAAACUUUGUUGGGAAUGGCGCCAGGACCCAAAGUAAGUCCCUUGCAAUUAUAAGAUAGAAGCACGACUGUAUAUAAUUUUUAAUAUACAGUGUUCUAAAACUGUUUUAUAUUCAUAGUUUAGUGAUGCAAUUUGGCAACGUGGAAGCUGAGAUUGAAUUCUUCGCUUCCCUCGUGAAAGCUGAUGGUUGGCUGAAAGGAGAUGUAAGUGUAAUUGAUUAUGCAUUUGUUUUAAUGUAUAUAGAUUAUGAGAUUGACAAGAACAACAUGUUGCAGCACAUUGAGUUGGGGUUGUAUCUCAUCCGGAAGCGACAACAACAGUUUGAGGAAGUAGAAAUAGCGGACUGGACAACGACAGAUGUUUUUUUUAUGGUAUGUCAUCGGCCUUGACCAAGUGCCGUUAAUAAUUACACAUUUUCCAUACAGACAAUAGUGGAGGUGUUUAACCAUUGAUUGUUUUGUAUUUCACAGAAUCACAUUCGAACUUGCUUUGCGGAUAAUAAAAGAAAAAAACAGCAGCUUGGGUGGAAAAUCAGAAAAAGUUUACUAAACGUUGUAAAUGGGAAGGUUCCUCCGUGUGGGAUGGAUUGGCAGAACGUCUAUACGGUGUAUACCCCAGUUAUGUUGACGAAGUACAAGCAUUGGGUGGCUGUAAUGAUUGAUCUGGUAUUGUGUGAAAUCAAAGUGUACGAUUCAAAGGUUUCACUAAUUCCAGAUGACAUCGUAAAGGAAGAACUCGCCCCGCUAUCAAUUAUGCUUCCAAAUCUUCUCAACACCAUCGACUUUUAUGAAGAAGGUGUUUAUGCAAACAAUUGCAUGCGAGAUUGGUGGUGUCCGUGGCCAAUAGAGCGUGUGGAUGUUCCACAACAGUCUAAUGAGUAAGCACAACUUGCAAUUUAAUUUUAUUACUUUCAAUUGUCAAUUACGUUAGAAUGUCAUUAGUUGAAUUGAUCGAGUUCUUGUUUUGCUUCAGAGGCGAUUGUGGCAUGUUUGUGUUAAAGUACAUUGAGCUUAUCAGCGCUCAGCUUUCGUUAGCUAUUUGCACCUCGCACAACAUGCCUUUUUUUCGGUUGAAAUUGGCUGCGGAGAUAACAAGGGGAGAUGCUUACUUCCCAUGAUAUUGGUUGAAGAUGACAAAUGGUACAUGAGAAGGUUUUGGGAAUGUCCAUUCUCAAACUAAUGUAAAUACACAAUAGAGACGUACGUGUCCUUUUCGAAUUCUACCGCUAACUCCUUCAUGACAUUUACAUGUUUGUUAACCAAACUGCAUUGAAUUGGAAUUUUAAGACUGCAUAUGUUAAUUGGGAUUUGAAGAUGGCUUUUUAAGUGUAUUACACCAUUGCAAAGUGAUAUGUCAUUGUUGAUGCAAGCCACCAUUAUUCGCAAUGAGUUGCAUCAUAAUAGGUGUGUAAACAUGCGAAAGGUUUUCGGCAGCUCAGUAGCAUAAAAGUAGAAACAAUUACAAUAUACACAAAAUGAACAACAAUUCACUUGCGUUUGGACAAGCAAUACAGACACAACAGACAAACAAUAUACACAAAAUUGGCCUGCCAUAUACAGACAUACACACAGUAGACAUGCAAUAUACACACAGUAGACAUGCAAUAUACACACAAUAGACAUGCAAUAUACACACAAUACACAUGCAAUAUACACACAAUACUCCCUUAACACACACAAUAGACAUGCCCUUGCCCACAAUAAUGAUGCAAUAUACUUCAGUCCCCAAGUACACCAACCAUAAGGAAGUCGUAUUGAAUAGGAUAUUAAACUUAACAGUUGUUCUUCCUACUAAAAGAAAGAAUAACGUCCGUUUCCCCCCUUCAUUCUUACUUCAGUGAUACUUGUGGCCCCAAUAAACAUCCAAUAUUGGGUCAAGGAUAUUCCAUAUACAUGCAGCAAACUAUCAAUAAACCUUCAAUAAACAUUCAAUAUCGGUUCUAUAACAUGCGAAAUACAUGCAGUUAACAAAUAUUACAAAAUGGGUUUAGGGUCUCAUUGGUGGUGCGUGCAACAUGUCUUGUGCGGAAGAACUUUCACAAUCUUUGAAACCAUGCAGUUAAAUGAUCCUUAAAAGAACAAAUAAAAUGACAAUUGAUACAACUAAUAAAACUAAUACCAAGUCCUUAAUGGACUUCAGCAUGUUCAGCACUCUAGCAUCAUACGUGUCAUCUUGAUGUUCUGCUUCAGCGGAGGUUACAUCAACCCAUUCGAAUCCAUUGCAACUGGUGGCUCCCUAAUUGCAGGCAUCAUAUAUGGAAUAUAAUUCUGUUAGAGUUAGACAUGGGUUUAUUUUGACCCACAUACAUAUUAUUGAAAUUAAAACUUACAUAGGAGGUUAGACACUUCCAGAAUGGCUUCCCUCGAUUUUUGUCAGAUUUUGAAACCCGAAGCACCAUUGUAGCUCCACAAUACUGACACCUCUUUGUUUGAGCAGGAGAUGAAGACGAAGACAUGUUGAAUCUUCUCAGUUGUACCUCUUCUCACUCAGAUCUUCUCACUGAAACCUCUUCGGACUCAUACCUUCUCACUCAUCGUUGUCAUUCAUACCCCUUCACUCAUAACCCUAAACUUGUCACUCAGCUCUCUCUCAUCUCUGCCCAAAUCGAGUUAUAUUUCUUUUUUUUGGGAUCAUUUGGUGGGUUGGUCACGAUCUCGACACCCGUACCGUCGGCAUUGCGACAUCUUUUAGCCCGAAAAGCAAUAUAAACUACUUCACUACCAAAUAUAUUUUCUGAAAAAUGAGGGGACACUGCUUCAAAUUUAUUAUUUUAUAUAUAUUUCAUUAAGGCAACUAGUUGGAUAAGAAUCCGUCAUUAUUGGUUCCAUUUGAAUAACAUUACUAGGGGUAGUUGGGUGUGGGAAAAUGAAAAAGUAUAUGAUGGGACCUUCUGUCACUACUCAGUAAUCCAUCACAUUUGUAUCAAUGAAUUUGAUAGUGGGAUAAUCCCACAAAUGGCUAUGCAAAUAGCCAUUUAAUGAACUUUUUGACUGUCUGACUCUGUAUGCACCGUUAUGACGUUUUCCCUUCUUUUGUCUUCAGUUUUAAUUCACUUGGGUUCAGUUUCUUUAAAAAUGGUCAACUUGGAAAAACCCCAACUGGAAACACCUUUUCAAAACACUAUAAACAGAGGCUAAAACAAAACGUGUACCCCAAAUAUUCUCAUUUAUCCCCUCUGCCACUCCUCAAAUCGUUCCAUUCCAAAAACUUUUCAAUGAAUUCGAAACACUUCACUACAGUCGGAGGAAAGAGAAGGAAGCAUCUCCAUUUCGAUAUGCCCGAAGCCUUCAUCCCGGAGUCCGCUUGGUUUCAAGUGAUGUUAUACGUGGCAACCGAAUCAUCGGAAGAUCUCUUCCGUAUGGCAUCUGUGUGCCCAUUGUUCCAAACUUUGGCAAACAGUCCACAAGUGUGGAACACCAUUUCAAUGGCAAAGUACCCACACCAUCCUAGCUGGUACCGUGCCAGACCUGCGGUCCAGCAUUUCUUGCAACAAUGCAGGGCUUGCGAUAACCCUGAGUCGAUAUUUAGAGAAGCAUUCGAUAUUUUUUUCAGGGCCAGUAAGGUGGAAGCGUUGUAUGGGAUGCGCAUUGCAGCCACGGCAGGCCAUAUGGAAGCGGCAUAUGUAGUUGGACUACUUGGUAUAUCCGGAAUUGGUCAGUCAAAAGAGGAUGCAUUACAAUUCUUGUGUUCUUUGAAUCAACGUAACAACAUUGAUAUGAAAGGAACCAGGGAUGCUUUGACACGAAGAUUAACCGGACCAAGAGUUGCAAGACAUAUCGUAGAUAUAUUUGACUAUGGGAAGAUUAAGUUCAAUCGCUGCAGCACUUGUAACAACAAUGAAUGGUAUUUUGUUAUUCAAGGCUGGCCUAGUGAAGACAAGAUAAAUCCUGCCUUCUAGACUUGUUGCAAUCGAUGCAAAUGGCACCGUGAGAGUAUUUUUUGGUUCAAACUGAUGCGUGAGUAUGUUGUGCGAGGGAAUCAUGUAUUUUUGCAUUAGUUUUAGUACGAAUUUACGGUUUUGAUGCAUUGUGGACUUACUUCUCUUCACUUCUAGGUUGGCUGGCUACGUUGUACAAAUGUUGUUUAAAUGUUGUUUAAAUGUUGGUAUUUUGUCAUAAACCGUUUUAUAUAUAAAUGUAUAAUAUUUAUUAUAUAGCGGAAUUAUUACUUACAUCAUAGACGGCUACGAAUGACAUUUUACUGACACAGAUAUUUUGCUCACCCACCCCAAUAUUCAUAUUUGGUAAACGAAAAGUCAUGCAUGGAGUAAAUAGGUGUCUUUUCACCAAUGCUUGGGAAUGACAUUUUCCCACUUAGCAUAUUCGACAGGAUUUGGUUACACGUUUCUUAAGCAAAAGUUGAACAGUGAAUGACGUUGAAUAAUUUGUUUGUGUGGAAGGAGUACAAUGGAUGACUUGUAUAUUUCCAUAUUAUGUUUGAAAACAUCCCUUCAACCUAAAAAAUAAAAAAAUUAACAAAUUGAAGAACAGAGAAACCGAUGAGCACUACAAAUGGCCUAUUCGCACGGAAAAUAAAAUUGUUUUAAACAAGUUGGACUAAAUAUAAUUAACAAAUGGACAGCCUAAAAAGUAAUAUCAUAAUAAUUAUAAUAAUUGUGGAUUAAUAAUAAUAAAAUACUAAUGUAGCAUAACCAUGAAACAGGGAAUUCAGUAGGAAGAUGAAAUCUCAAUAAGUUCGUUGAAAUGUUCGGAUCGUUUUUCUAAUUUUUGUGUAUUUAGUUCUGAAUUUUCCAAGAAAAAAAGUAAUUAAAUAAUAAUUUAGGGUAAAAUGGGAUGAUGUGGCCAUGUUGACUGACGUACACUUGUGCAAGUACUCAUAAGUGAGGGGCUGAGAUCGCGCCAGGUGUCUUCUUGGAAUUAGGGUUGGCUAUUUUAGUGGAAAAAUCCUUGAAAAUAGGUAAAAAAUAGUAGGAAAUUCCUAUUCUAGGUUGGGAAAAUUACCCGCGCCUCCUUGUGACGUCAUAAAACUAGGAGAACCUAUAAAUCAUCCGUCUCGCAAUGAAAUAAUCCAAAAUGUUUUACAUAACUCACUUCCCUCUUUACCCUAAGUAUUGAUGUUUGUUAACUUGAACUUCAAUAACCUACUUCAACAAGCAUCUCCCGUUAAUGUUGGGAAUAAUUGUCUAAAAUGCGUAACAAUGAAUCGGAGAAUUCAGCAAGGGAGAUGGAGUGUCAAUGAGUUCGUAGCAAUUUUCGGAAAUAAUUUUGAAUUUUUGUGUAUUUAGUUAUGAAUUUUGUAAGACAAAGUAAUAAAAUAAUAAUUUAGGGUAAAAUGGGAGGAUGUGGCCAUGUUGACUGACGUACACUUGUGCAAGUAGUCAAAAGUGCCGGGCUGAGAUCGCGCCAGGUGUCAUCUUCUUUUCAAUUUUGGAUUCUUUUGUUAAAAAAUCUUUGAAACUAAGUAAUAAAUAGUAGGAAAAUCCUAAAAAUGCCCCCAAAAUUACUCCGGCCUACUUGUGACGUCAUAAAACUAGGAGAACCUAUAAAUCAUUCGUCUCGCAAUGAAAUAAUCCAAAUUGUUUUACAUAACUCACUUUCCUCUUAACCCUAAGUAUUGAUGUUUGUUAACUUAAACUUGAAUAACCUACUUCAACAAGCAUCUCCCGUUGAUGUUCGGAAUUAUUUUUAAAAAUGCGUAACAAUGAAUCGGAGAAUUCAGCAAGGGAGAUGGAGUGUGAAUGAGUUCGUAGCAAUUUUCGGAUAAUUUUUUUAAUUUUUGUGUAAUUAGUUCUGAUUUUUGUAAGGAAAAGUAAUAAAAUAAUAAUUUAGGGUAAAAAGGGAGGAUGUGGCCAUAUUGACUGACGUACACUUGUGCAAGUAGUCAUAAGUGACGGGCUGAGAUCGCGCCAGGUGUCCUCUUGCUAUUAUUUUGGCUUUUUUAGUGCAACAAUCUGUGGACAUAGGUAAUAAAUUCUACGAAAAUCCAAAAAAUGCCCGGAAAAUGAGAAAAUGAAAAUUAUUUGUACAUAACUCACUUUCCUCUUAACCCUAAUUCACGUGUAACACGUAUAUUUCGGAUAAUAUUCGAUAUAUAAUUUGUAAUAAUACAAUAUUUAGUUUCACUAUAUACAAUAAUAUGUUUUGUUAUAAUAAUGUACAUAAAUAAUAAUUGCACAUGCUUUGAAGCCAUCAUUGCAACUACGCCUAGAGCUUUCAAGACGUCAGUUCGUAUUCAAUAAGUUGUCCACAUGCAAGUGCACCUACAGUUUUCAACACGUCAGAGGUAUUCAAUAAGUUGUCCACAUGCAACUGCACCUAGAGUUAUUAACACGUCAGAGGUAUUCAAUAAGUUGUCCAUAUGACGCCGCAUUGGGAAUCAGUAAUAUAUUUUCAAUCAUGUCCAAUCACAUAAAAUAAUGGCAUACUUUUUCUCAAUAACCUCACACAAGUGAAGCAAUUUUAAAACCCUUACUGAAUAUUUGUCCUAGUCUAUAUGAGUGAUUAUAUAAUCAGUCUGCAUUUUUUUCACAGUAUAUGUUAACUUUGAGAGGGAUUCCACAAACAUAAAAUAUAAAGAAAGCAAGAAAUAGUAGGAGAUGAACCAGUAGAAAAAACAAUAUAUAAAUGGUACAUAAUAAUUCCAUAACCUUGUCACAAACGCACUCACAAAAGCUUUUCCAUAAACCUUGUCCUAACAUAUAAUAAAUAAAGGCAACAUUGCAUAUGAUGCAACCAUGUCCAAAUCUGAUACGUGAUCAAAAACAAAUGGACAUGGCAGCAACAUAUGACUGAAGUAGAUGGGCUCUUUGCAUCUUGUGUUUUCGUAAUUAAAGACAUCAAAAUAUUAAGGUUUAAAUCUUCCAUAGUAGUUAGCAUCAAAAUAGCUUUGAAGCAGAGUGUAAAGAAAAUUCCAAUUCCACUGAUUUGCCUCUGCUCAAACACGAGAACCAAAAUGGUUACUUCCCUUGCUGAGUAUAUUUGGUGACGUCGGAAACGGUAAUAGAUGAUCAAUCAAACCCAGGUACGACGAGUUUUGCAUAGGAUCGGAAGUAGUCGAAUCCAGCUUGCAUCACACGCUUCUUUGACUCCACUGCAUUAGAUGAGUUCUUGUAUUUUUGAACAGCUACACUCCGAAGUCGUUUGUGUCUACGCUUCAUGCGCUGCAACUUCACCCUAUCCAGAUUGGCCUGCCUUUUGUCAUCUUCAAUUUGGCCUUCAACAAAUUCCAAACGUGCCCUUGCCCUUUGGAUUUCAUCACCAAGUUGAAGAUGCCUCUCCUUCCAAAAAGCAACAACUCUUUCAGACUCAAAACUUCCAACAAAAUGGUCAUUCUGUCUAGGAAUGUGACAUUGCUUGUCUGGUGACUCACUUGCGUGUCGAAGGCGGUCUUUGUUUGGAGGGGUGUUUAUUAUGCUCACAUCAAACUUGGUUAGUAAAUCCAUUCUUUGGGGGGAAUGAGUUUGUUUGCUUGAGAGAGUAUCAGUAGAUGGAGACAGAUUCGGUGGAGGAGUGAGUUUUGUGUGGAAGGAGAAUUUAUAUGAAAGGGGUGAUAGUAAUACCAAGAAAAGGGUUCCCGCCAAAAAAUAUUUGGUUGAGAAUGUAUAAAUUAAUUUUUGGUCUGAUACAAUCUAAGUUGAAUCCUAACUAGUUUGGUUGAGUUAACUAAGUAGAUGUCACUUCCAUUGAGUUUCUUUCAACCACUAUCAGUGGUGUCAGGAGAGUGUGAGGUUGACAUGCUUGAAAAGCAAAACCUGACACCUAUUUUUAAAAAAUUCCAUAAAAAAAGUACAUAUGUUGACUACACACAAGCUUUGGUAUGUUGGUCUAUAAACCUAUGUUCCCUUUCUCAAACGAAAUUGCAUAUGCAAUCCUCAUCCUCCCAAAACAAAGAGGAUUAUUCAAGCAUGUCAACCUCUUCAGGCGCCAACAACACAAUCGAAGAUGACAAAUUGGAGUCGCAGGUUCUAUUUCCACAUUGUACUCGCCGACCCCUUCCUUUUUCAACAUCAUUUGGGAGUGAGGGGGACUCCGAUGAUCCAUUAGAGGCAAUACAUGCAGUCAGUGGCAAGCUGGAUUAUAAUUCCAGACUGAUCAAUUCAUGGCACGAGAAAUGUGUUGAAGACGAGGCAAUUUUGGCUGAUCUUAACAUUAGAGUGAACAAAGCGUUCUCCCAAAAGAACAAGUACUUGAAGCUGAGUCAUAGCAGGAAGCUGAAAGCUGAGGAGUUGGAUACAGUAAUGAAUGAUGAAAUGAAAGGUUGUUUGCUGAACCACAUGCGAUGCGAAGAGCACCAUAGUGAACUGGAGUUGGCAUUCAACGAAGGAUUCGACAAAUUUCGAGCAUUUGCGGCAACUACUCAUACAAGUUAUGAUUGGAACUAUGUGUCCCCUGAUGCUGUGAGAGAGAUACUAGACGAUGGGGGUGACAUGAAUGAGCAUAAGCACGUCAAAGCUGCUCGGAAGAAGCCGACCGAUACGACUAAGUGAUUGCGGCUACCGCUGUUCAGUUGGUUGAGGGUGACCGUGGUAUUGCACAUAUACUCCCUUAAUGUCAUUAUCUAAUUUCAAAUAACACAAAUAUCAGUUUCAUUUGCUUCAUAUAUAAUUAUUGGGACUAUGUAUUGCAAGUCAUCAUGUGUUAUAAUGUCUAACAUUAUAUUUUGCAAAUAUGGAAAUAUUAUUCAAUAAGCAGUCAAUAUCACAGCAAGCCGGGAAUCAGUAAAUGCUCCUUAUCAUGUCCAUUUACAUUAAAGAGCUGGCGUACUAAUGUGUUCAAAAAAAACUGAGACGUGAGUCAUAAGUAACAUAACAUGUGCUAUACAUUGUUUACUGAAUGGUUUAUGGUUUAUUUUUAUAUAAUAAAAUUCCAAAUAUUGCUGAAGAUUUAUUUCGUCUAUAUGACUAGGGAUAUGAGUGGCCAUAAGCAUGUGAGACCUGCUAAGAAGAAGCUGACGAGUACGACCGAGUGAUUGUGGCUACCGUUGUUCAGUUGGUUGGGGAGAUCGUGGUAUUGCUAAGAGGGAGCACAUAAUAUGUUUUGCAAUCAAAUGUUCUUUUGUGUGUGGAAUUAUGAGUAUUUAUGUAAGUUAGUGUACCCUUUAAUAUUUUUCACCUAAGUAUCGAAAUGUAAUUAGCUGCAAUGUUAUGUUUCAUUUUUACACGCUGCUUUCUAUUUGCUCUGUUCCAACAAAGUGCUUCAAGUAUCCUUCAGUUACAAAAGUGUACAAAAUCGUGCCCCUAAUAACCAGUCGUCAAAAGUGGCUACUGCUGGAAAUGAUUACUGGUAAUGGAAACAACAGCUGGCUGCUGGAAAUGCUGCAUUAGCCUGAGGAUUUGAAAAAUGAAUCUCUGUUAAAACAUAAUUCACCCUAAACUGCCCAUUUUACAUGGUAAAGGUCAUUGCUUCUUCACAUAACUACAAAUUUCAUACUUGAUCAAAUGUCUAUGAAAAUUUAUAAAUAGGGAGAAGACGUAAAAUUAACAUGUCUCCAAAUUUCAUGGAAGAAUGAAACCAAGGAAAUUUUCAUUUCAAUUACCAGUGGACAUAGUAAGAGCUCAUCGGUGGACAUGAACAAAAACACAAUAAUAUUCAAAAACUGAAUCUAUAAAACUUCACCUGAUCAUUAAUCUUCAUAACAACCACAUUUCGUCUAAUACAAAUAUAAAUCAUUUAGUUGGUCCGUGCAUCCUGUCAAAAUCGUCGAAUAAUGGGUCACUACGAUGUAUUGGAGUUGAUUCGUCAUUGUUCGACGGUGAUGUCCUGCAUAAACAUCAAACACAAGCACAUAAAAAUUUUACCUUUUCAUAUUUUAGAUGUUAUUACAACUAGUGUUAGCAUCUUACGGUGUGUUCAAGGCUGGGCAUUGUCUUCUAUCAUGACCAAUGUGUCCACACUCCCGACAGUGUCUAAUCCCUCGCUUCAUUGCCUUUUCCUUUGCUCCCGUUACUCCUUUCGACCUUCCUUUGCACCUCACUCUCUUAGGGUCUUUCAUAUAUUGUGUUUGAGAGCUGGACCCUCCAACUUCGUUAUUACUUAGUCCAUCCUUCAGCAACUUUAACUUCACCUGCAAACUUUUUAGAGUCUCUGACAGUAGCUCACAUCCUUCUUCACUCAUUAAUGCAUCCUCAACCACAUCUGAAGCAAGUCGAGACAUUGUACUCCGCUUUAUUAGAAGGCCAGGAUCUGCACAGUCUUUAAUUUCGUUGCCAUUUGCAUCUGACACCAUUCCAGAUUUCGCAGUUUUCUUCCACCUCUUCAAAAUAUAUUUAUCGGGCAUAUAUUCAAUCUGGUCCCUUCUGAACAAUGCUAGGAUGUGCUUGCAAAUAAUUCCAACAAAUUCAAAUCUUUUGCAGCUACACGAUGCGUGGUCAGAAUCUUUGACAUAUACGACUUCUGCCACUCUUGUUUCCCAAUUUUUCCUUUCGCUCACGUUAAAGACAACUUUACAAGCAUCCUCUGUUUUGAGCUCUAGGAAACAUGCUGUACUUUGUAUUAGUUCUUGCUCAAACUUUUGAAACAUUGUCCUUGUGUACAAGGUAGCCAUUUGUUUGUUCAUUGGCAUCGGUAGAAGACAUUGAGCCACUUCAAAUGCAUCUACGUGAUCAGCAACUAACUCUUUUUCACGUUGAUGAGAAAGUGCCCUCUCAAAUCGUAUUAUGAAAUCCAUCAACGAAUUUCUCCUUGAUAUGUAUUGCUUGAAAAAACCAUGAGAACCUUCCGCUCUUUGGCUGCUUGACAUUCCAGCGGCAAAAAAUUGUCGUGCGUAGGCUGGAACCCAAGAUUCCCUUAAAUCAAACAUUGAACUUAGCCAUGGAUGGUCGGUCAAACCAGCCUUUGUAACCACAAUAUUCCAUUUUGCAUCAAACUCAUCCUUAUUGUCAGUAUCCCAUAUGGCUUUCUGAAAUUCACGCCAAUACUCCUUAUAAGCGUCACGUGGUAACUUAACAGAGAACUUUGAUGUGAUGUGCCAUAUGCAAAGUCGAUGAAAUGUACUCGGGAAGGCUAUUGAAAUCGCUAUGGCCAUUGCCGCAUCUUGAUCUGUAAUGAUCGUUUUAGGUUCCCCACCUGGCAUGGCUUUCUUAAACUCCUCAAACAUCCAAACAAACGACUCAGUCGUUUCCUUGCUCAAAAAUGCACAUGCUAAGACAAUUGUUUGACCAUGGUUAUUAACUCCCAACAUUGGUGCAAAUGUCAAGUCGUAUCGAUUCGUGUUGAAUGUGGUAUCGAAUACAACAACAUCUCCAUAAAACCCAUACGCCCGUCUAGAAGUUGCAUCUGCCCAAAAACAUCGACUAAACCUGUCAUGCCCAUCUCCCUCAAUCUUGAAAUAAAAAGCCUCAUUUUUUUUCUGUUCAGCCAUAAAAUACUCGGUCACUAGUUCAACAUCGUGGUUCCUCAGCUUCCCAUUCACACUACAUUCAAGAUUGUAGAUAUCUUUUUUGAUAAAACCGAUUUUAUCCAUUCCUCCGGAUUGCACCUUGAAAAUACUUACCUUAUGAUGAAUGGGAAUAUUAACUGAACCCAACUGUUUUGUGAGUACUUUGUAGAAUCUGAAAUAUGACGGUGUGAUCUCAAUAAAUGCAUUCUUUCUGAGGGUGUCAUCUUAUGAUUGUGUCCCUCUGCAAAAAGAGAUAUGGUAUACUUCUUGCUCCCAUUUGUCUUCACAACCACAAUCUUAGCUUUGCAAUUGCAUCUACUUAUUCCCCGUUGUCUUUUUCUCUCCCGAGUUUCAUCCUUCCUGUAUGCACCUUGUUUGCAACAUACAAAUUCUUUCCUCAAAAUCUCUUUCUUAUUUUUCCCCCAAAAGCUAGAAUGAAGUCGAAUACCAAAGCCAGCAAAGAAUGCAUAUCUAUUAUAGAAAUUGUAAACGAGGUCAAGCGAGUCAAACUUCAUCCCAACUGCUGGUGUUUCCUCAUUUCUUACUUCAGGAAUAUAAACCCUCCCAUUAGCUGUUGCACAUUCAUCACUCUCUGAGCCCCCAGACAUUUUAUCUACGUAUAUUAUUGAUCCACUUCUAUAUUACUGCAUAGCAAUUAUUCAUUCAUUAAUCAGUCAUUACUGCAUCACAACAUAUCAAUGCAUUCCACUUACACAAAACAUUGCCCAAAUUGACACAAAAUACGCAUAGCCUAACUUCCGAUUACACAAAACGCAAGCAAAAUUUCAUAAAAGUUACGUCAUCUCUUGUGAAAUAAUCUGGUCAAAAUAACAUUAGAACCAACAUGUUCAACUAAGAACACAAAUGUAAUUCAAACCACCAAUUACAGAACUUCACCCAAUAUCCUCUCCAACUGCUUACUCCUAAUGUCAUUAAGCCUAAGUUUAGGUUCUUUUACCUACAUUUCAUAAUUUUCCACCCCGACCAACAACAAUGAACUAAGAAUAUUGAAUAUUCAUAAGGAAAUGACACAUUAUUGAUGCCACAAAUGACGAAUUUCCCACCCUCACAAAAGAUAAACCUAACCCAAUAAAAUCAAUCCAGCAAGUGAACUUACCUCUCAAAAUCAAUCGGGAGCUCUGAAGUCAGUCAGCUUGAAAGAAUGUGGUGGACAUUACAGAAGACUCUUUGGUAUUUGAGACUCCAUCUCUACCAAAAUCGAGGAACAACUGCUGCUGCGGCUUCUAGCUACAAAAACAGAUAUGCUACUUUGCUUUCAUCUGGAAUCUUGUCAGCUGAAUGAAAAAGAGAAGGGGUUUUCACUUGAGCCAUAGAAUCAAAACAGGGCAACAGCUAGGUAAGAGCCAUUCUUCGUAAUACCCAGGAUACCAUAGAUCGCAGGCCUCCCAACGAGCUAAUGACAGUCGAGUGACUAUAAGGUUUGGGAGAUUUGGAUCCUUCUAAUUGUGGGUUUGCUUUACAUUCAAAAAGAAAGGAUUGUGUUCUUCAGUUUUUCACAGAGAGGGAAAGAGGGGAACAACUGAAGUUGGGUUUCUAACGGGUUAGAUUUCAACCCGAUUCUACAUGCACCCUCUUUUAAAAACUCACCGUUGGAUGAAAUCCAACGGCUCUUACAUGCCCCUCAAAAACACCCCUUAUAACUUCCCACUCACUAUAGAAGCUCCCCUGUUUGUGUUGUUGAAUUGGGUCUUUUAGUUGUUUUUGUAAACUCUGAUUUAAGUCUAGUUUGGUAUUGCUGUACUUUUAAAAAAAACUACUUCCGCUGUGCUGCUAGAAUACUCAGCUGUAAAAAAAAUUAGUUAUGCUUUUGGUAAACUAUAUUUGAAAAAGUGCUGUGAGUAAUCCAAAUGUUUGGUAAAUGACCAAAAAAAAGUGCUUUUAAUACGUACAAUGACUAAAAAGGACAUGAUGAUGGAACUAUUUGAUUUUUUCUUCAUUCUUUUUCUACUUAAAAAAAACUUCACUACAUAAUUUUUUUUUCUUUUUUUAUUUAUACUAUACACGUGUUCCUCUCUUCUCAAAAAAGUAAAUGCCUUUUGUUAUGUAUUGAAUGCUAACCCAACGACACCAAUUGGAAACCCAACACAGCCCAUCUCUCCACUUCAAUUUUUCUCUUUCUACCAUUUACAAGUUUUUUUUCUUCAUUCCUUCGUCUAACCAAAAAUAUCUCAUGUUUCCCCCAAUUAGUUUUAGUACUUUUGGGUAGGUGAGACUGAAAAGGGGAAAAAUUGUAUGUUGGGUUUAUGUUUUGGUGUUCUUGCAAUGGGAGAUAACAUAGUGGAGAAAGUAGCCAUGGUGAAAAUACAGAUUUCUGGGUUGCAGCCAUGGAGAUUUGAGCUGAUUUACAGUGCUGUAGUGGGGGUAGUUGAAGCCCCCCCAAAGUUGGGACUACUGCAACAGGAUCUUUCCACCCAAAACCAAAAACAAGAACAACAAACUCAGGUGGAACAUGAAACUCAUCACUCUCUCUCUUCCUUCGACUCGGGUUUUCUCUCUUCUUCCUCAAACCUGCGACAAAUAGAAAAACCCCCAAUUUAACAGAGAAAACUCUAGAUGCAGAAAGUUUGAGAAGUAGAAAACCAAAAAACCAUAAUUGUAAUUAAGUUAUUGAUGAAUGGGCAACCUUCUUAGCAAUUAAUUUUUUGAUGUCCACAAUGAGAGUUCCAGCAGCGUCAGAGAGUAGAGAAGGAAAUGAAGGAAAUAGAGUUCACAGAAUGGAGAAGAAAAAAGGGGCAAAAGACCGUCAAUUUGUAAAAUAAGUGAGGGUAUUACGGGAAAGUUAAAAGUUCAUUAAAACAACCGGUUAAAUUUUUUUUGAAGCAGCUUUUAAAAGCUUGGUAGAGACGGCUUCGAAAAAACAGCGAUCAUUGACUGCGAUUUUAAAAAAAAGCAGGAUUCCUGAUGUUUUCCAAACACCCAACUCAUGAAAUUUUUUUAUUAAAGCUGCUUUUUAAGAAAAUUAAACGCUGCCAAACACCACCUUAACCAUUUUCUUUGCGUGUGCCAAAUUUAUAAUUUUGACCAGUGUCAUGCAGGAAAAUGUUUCAUGCUUUGUUAACAGGGGGCUUUCGAUGAGUAUUUUAUUUAGAUGAAAAGUGAUUCAUUCCUUUCCUUUAUGGAUUCAUCUUGUUAGGUUGAUCUAUUGAAGAAUGAGCUUGGAUUUGAUGAGGCUUUUAACUAUAAAGAAGAGGCUGACUUGAAUGCGGCUUUCAAAAGGUGCAUAUGAGUAAUGAUAGAGAGAUUACAUUUAUAAACCCUAGCGGACCAUGAAUAUAAUGAGUCUUAAAUCUAUUAGACAAUUGGUUAGUUGACAGGUGGUAUACAAAGCAGUCUACAAAUGUGAUCUCCCUAUCAUUUUCCGUAAAAUACAUAUUUAUUAUGUUAUACUAGUUUCCUUUAGUAAGAAAAGAAAGGAAAAAAACUAUUAUUAAGAAUUUGUGUGUUGUUAGGGUUCAUCAUUGGGCUGGGCCAACUCAAAAAUUUUGGGUUCGAGCCGAGCCCUCAUGGGCCGAAAUGGGCCAGACUUUUUGUUAAAAAGUCUUUUCAAUCUUUUUGUUACACAUUUCGUUUUUUCAAAAGUGAUGGAUAUAGAGUAUUCUCUUAAACAAUAGUAUAGAUUACUACAUAAUUUAAGAAAACAAAAAUAUAAUAGCCAAACUUUUUUACUAAACCUAGACCAAUAACCAAUAUAUUUAAAAAAUAUUAUACCUAAAAAUGAAUCUUAUGAUGUGCAAUUUGUGCCUUAAUUAACUUAUAUCCCAAAUUAGGAUUGACAUCAUGAAAAUUAAAGCAAUUUGUGCCUUUAAAAUUAAUAAACCCAGAAUAAGCUUUCAAAUUCUUUAUUGAACCGUUAAAUUUGAACUUGACAAAAAAGGGGCACUAAGAGAUAUAGUGCAUAUAUUGCUUGUUUGUUACAAAAUUUUAGACAACAUUGAAAAAAUUAACUUAAUUUAUAACAUGUGUAAACAAAAUAAAAAGUUUAUUAGUUUAUCAUACAUAUUACAUUAUUUUGAUUAAGUAUAAAAUGAGGUUAGGGAAUGCAUCAAUUAAUCUUAAAAAAAUGAAAAGCAUAAGCGGGCGGGCCGAGCGGGCCUAACCAUCUUGCUAGGCUGGACUUUGACCCAUCAAGCCUCGGACUACCCACUUCGGAGCCGCGGGCCAAAUGAUGAUCCCUAUAUGUUGUAUAUGAUGCUUUGAAGCUUGAGCUUUCUUGAGUGAAGGAUAAAUUUUCUUUGUAAUUACCAUACACUUGCCAGGUAUUUCCCUGAAGGCAUUGAUAUUUACUUUGAGAAUGUUGGAGGCAAAACGCUAGACGCAGUGCUCCUCAACAUGAGAGUCCAUGGCCGCAUUGCUGUAUGUGGAAUGAUCUCACAGUACAAUCUUGAUCAAGCAGAAGGGGUAACAAAUUUGAUGCACCUUGUGUAAAAACGUAUCCGCCUCCAUGGAUUUUCGGUAAGAGAUCACUAUCACAUCCAUCCGAAAUUCGUGGAGUUUAUGCUGCCUUACAUUAGGCAAGGAAAGAUUGUUUAUGUGGAAGACAUAGUUGAAGGCCUUGAGAGUGGUCCAAGAGCGCUGGUUGGACUUUUUAAGGGUCUUAACUUUGGAAAACAAGUAGUUGACGUCUCUGCAUGAAUAAGUUGUUUUGUCAAUCGAUUUGGUGUGCUUGUGUUUCUAACCACUAUAACUUUGUUAAGUGGCUCUUUGGUUUUAUUUUUAUGUUUUUGGAUCCUUUUUGGGAUUGCAUAUGUUAAGUGGUGCACUUUGUCAUACAGAAGAUAUUCAUCAAUAAUAAGGGCUAAUUCAGGAUUGUUGUCACUUUUAAAAAAAGAUGCUUCUGUUGUGUUUUGGAAAUAAUAAGCUGUAAAGUAGUUCCAUGCGUGUUAAACAAUAUUUUUAAAGUGUUGUUAGUAUAAAAAGUUAUGUCAAAACCGUUUGGUAAAUUUUGAUAUAAAACUAGUAACUGUUGAUAAUGACUAAAACAUACAUGAUAUGUCGAAAGUGUUACGUGGUAACCAUAUGGUGGUGGUGGCGGUGGUGGUAUAGGUGGAGGUUGAGUUGGUGGUGGUGGUGGAGGUGGAGGUGGUGGUGAGGCGUGCUACGGGCACCAACUUAAAUACUAAUUUAAUGAUACCAACCUAUGUGGCAUAUGACAUGACAAUUUAUGUCAUAUGCCACAUCAUUUUUUUUAUUAGUUAAGUUUUAACAAUUUUUUGUCAGAAUUAACUUAAUUAUUUAGUUUUAAAUAAAUAAAUUCUGCUCCACGCCUCCCUUCCUUCUCGGAUCUACUACCAUGGCCUCCUUCCUCCCCAACUUGUAUGCCCUUAUUAUUACGCACAUUGAAUUUGGCUUUCGGGGUGUGACAUAUUUUUACCAAUCCCAUGAAGCUUUUCUUAUCUUUGAAUGCUUGAGUGCUAACCAUUGUGUGUUUCCCUUGCUUUAGGAAGAUUGCCUCACUCAGCAAGAAUGCAUGGUGAGGUGUUUGUGAAUGGUGCAAAAUCGGUACAUGUACAUGGCCACGACACCGAUAUAUAAAUGAGAAGAGAAUUCCUUGGUCAGUAUCAAUAUUGCGAAACUGUUGCAGCAUUGAAGGGUUGUGUGAACUCCUCGAUUUCAAGCGAAGUCGAAUAUUGCUUGAUGUGGAAGAUGGCUCAAACUAAUAAAAAUGAGGAAAACGGAUCAUACCAACAAAAAUAUGGCAGAUGGCCAGAAUCAAUAUAACCGUGGUCAGAUUUGGGAAGUGAGGCCAUGGCAGAUUCGGAGAGGGAGGGAGGCCAUGGCAGAUCUAUAAAGGAAUGGAGAAACAGAUCACACCUCUUCCCUUCUCCUCAUACCACAACUCAUCAUACACACCCAAUCGAUUUUGAAAUAUUACAUAAAAGUUGUGAUGGCGCUGGAACUGCAGAUUCAGAACGUUUUUUAUAUGCUUCCCACAAGCAGUCAGACAAACCCUUAGAGGACGAGUGACAUCAUUACCUUCUCAACUUACCAAAGAAAGAACUCCUUCCGAAGUGGUAACCACUUGCCGAUGCUCCCAACUACAGAACCAAGUUUCCAUGGACACGUGUCACCUCCACAAUAGUUUGCACAAAGUCCGACAUUGAAACUUUGUGCAAAACUCCCAUUUUCAGGGAACAGUACCUAAGGAAAAGGGGUAACUACUUUUCACAUUUACUGUUACUCUGCCAAAAUUACCACAUAUACUCGCUGACUUAAGUAUUGGAGAGUCUUCGGCAGGUACCACACCAGUGUCCGAAGCUUGACGAUCCCUUCUUCCUUGUUUUCUUAUGCAAGAUCCCUCCAUACCGAAGGUCCACAACCUUCUCCCUUGCUGAAGAUUUAACACUCCUUUAUCUAAGUUAACCCUCCGAAAAAGAGCAUCAACACGCGCAGCACUCAUUAUCUUUCAACAAUCUGAUUAUCUUAUACUAGUUAAUUUAUGGGUUGUUUGAUAACAAUUUCAAUUUUAAUUUUUAGUUUUCAUUUUCAUUUUUUUUGAAAACUGAAAACAUGUUUGGUAUUAGAUUUCGUUUUCAAAUUAAAAAAAAAGUGAAAUCUAGUUUUCAAAAUCACCUUUUUUUUAAAAAACAACUUGGAAGUGUUUUAUGUUUUUUUUUUAUGUUUUUUUUUUUUUUUUUUUUUUUUUUGUGCACUAUUGUUUGUUGGAGUGUUAGUUGACUUUCUUUGCACACCAAGGUUUCCCAUAUUAACUCAUGCAUAGAUUGGAAUUGAUUUCCUACUCUAAAUAGUAUUAGAAGUUAUUAAUUACCUUACUUAGCCUUCAAGGAAUAUUGUAUUAUAAAUAUGGCCUUCUACAAGGAGAAGAAUACACAGAAAAUUCUCACCACAAUUACUCUUUCGUAAUUUUAGCAUUAUUUCAUUCAUAAGUUUCACAUCACCACACAUGAAAUGCACUCCGGUUACCAAAAGUCGGUAUUUGGGACCUCCCAACUUGGACUUGGUCGCUCAAUUCGUGCUUUUGGCCACAAUCCCAAUCCAAACCUCGUCAACUCCAUGUCCAAAGGUCACUAAAAAAUAAUCAUAAUUUUAAAAAAUUCACCAAAAAAUAUUACGAAUUUUUUGUCAUUCCUGCUUUAACUUUACCUUUUGUUUUCAAAUGUUGACCCGUCCCAACCCAACUCUCAAUGCUCGAAGGGUUCUUUCGUGUAGUUAAGAGUUGGGUUUUCCAAGGUAGGUCUAUAUUGAUUCGAACAACUUUGCGGUAUAUCUGUGGGUAAGAUACUGUUCUCAAAGUAGUAAAGGCUGAACUAAAAGGCUAAAUGGGAAAAUGAAUACUUUCUUUUCUCUUCCUCAAGAAACAUACAUCCUCACCACAAGAGAGGGAGAGUUGCUUGGUAUUUUGUUAAAUAAAAUAAAAUAAUUAAUAAUUGAAAAUAGAAAAUGUUUGAAAAGGAUAUUGGGAAUAAAGAGAGAAGAUGCGGGUGUGAGUAAAAUAACAAUAAAAGAAAAUUAAAUCAAAAAUAAAAAAAUAAAAAAAUAAUUAAGUUUUGGGGAGUAGAAAUCGGGAUGGAGGGGGGAGAGAGAGGUUUUUUUUUAAAAAUUUUUUAUUCGUAUUUUAAUCAAUUUUGAUAUUGUUGAGGCCCAAAAAAGUUACGGGAAGCCCAAAGACAUUUAAAGCCCAAUAUAACAUAUAUUCUCAGUCAUGCGUUAAUCCAAGCUGUAAUUCGGAUUUAAUUCAUUAAAUAAAUAUAAAAUAGUGUACAUGUCAUGCUAAACUAAUAAUACAUUUUCCCCAUGCUAAUCACCUAUCAAGCUCACAUGAACCCAAGUCAUGUGAUUUACGGGCUUGCAUGAGGGAUUGUGGUGUGGAAGGUUACGGAGGUCCACAAGGCCCACGGAAGCUCUUGGAUAACAGAGACUUUGGGCUAGCUACUUGAGAGCACCAAAGUCCAAGCCCAUUACUUAGAGUUCUCCAAUGUGGGUGAGCAAAUGAGACAUUUUUCAAGCACUGCCUUUUACCUAUAGGAAAUAGUCAUUUUCCAAAUACCAAGCUUUACCCGUUGGAAACAAGCAUUUUCCAGCACUUCCUAUUACCCAUUGGAAACAAGCAGUUUCCAGUGCUUCCUUUUACCAAUAGGAAAAAAUCUGUUUAUGAUACCUAGCUUUACCUAUUGGAAAAUAGCAUGUCCUAGUCCUCCCUUUUAACCAUUAGAAAUAGGUUGGUUCCAAUACCUCCCUUUACCUAUUGGAAAUAAAGGAAAACCCUCACCCUCUAUAAAUUGGCACUCAUGGCUCAAGCAAAAGGCACCAAUUUUUCUUCAGCCAAUACUUCCUCACUCGGCUACUGCAAGCAUCCCAGCAGCCACCAACCCCCAUAAAGCAUCACCUAGCUCCAAGCUUUUCCUUCCUUCCAAGCUUUAAACACCAUAGCCUUUAAACCUCAAGCUUUUCCUUCCAUCCUCCUUCUCUUGAAACUCUUAAAUCCCCAUAGCCAUAGCCACACACAACAAAUUAUCAACACCAAACUCAAACAUAUCCAACACCAAGCCAAGCACAUGCAUUCUCAUUUGCUAAACUUGUGGGUCUUUAGCUCCUACACUCCAAGCUCUCAUGCUAAGCUCACAUAAUCUCAUACCAACAUCAGCAAGUCAUCUUCAACUCUUCGUCGAGCUGCCGAAAACAUCAACACAAAACAUGCAGCCGUUGGAAGAAGAACAAAGUACUCUCCCGGGACUUGCUUUUCCCUUGGGACACUUUGGGCCUAGUUCUCGCUAACUCAGAUAAAGGAACAACGAAGUCUUCAUUCAUCACUCUAUGGCGACCCAAGAAUCAACAAAGCCCGGAUGAGCCUUCGAACGAAAGUGACCACAUGCAAAGCUCAAGCUUCAAUAGCCAAGCCCAAGCUUUUGGUUCCUAAAAACAUGCUUACGACAGCUGCAACAAACAAUACCUAAGUCACCAUAAGUGAUAUGCCCCAGCGUCUCAAGCACUUUCUAUGCCCUGACAAUUCUAAUGAUCAAGUUUUAGAGUCAAACCAAAAGGCCAUUGGGAUGUCUCAAUUGCCACAAUUCCAUAAUCAAUCAUCAUCAAGCCUCAAGCCUUAUUCAAGAAAUCCAAGCACUAUUCUUUACUCAAGAAGGAAAACAUCUCAGUUCGUGGCAAAUAGAAGGAAAAUACUACGAAGGUACCGGAAGAACCUAAACACUGUCAAGAUGAAGUUUCCUUUACCAAGCAAUCAAAAUUUUUGAAGUGAUGUCAAGCUAUCAAGAAAAAGAGUAAAGUCACUAUGCAACACAACAACCAAAAUAUGCUUGUAGUAACCAAGAUUCAAGCCAAGCAAAAUGUGGAAGAUAAUGAUGCGUUGUAUGAAAUGCUCCUGGAAGAUAACACAAGCCCUAUAGUCAUGCUGCCGGAAGAGUGAACCAUCAUGCCACUAAAUUUGAAAGAGGAGCCCCAUAUCUGAGUACUGGAAGGCAGCGCAGUGGACUCCAAAACUAAGAUCUAGUCCAAGUGACUUAAGGCCUCCAUAUUGCAAUGCUUAUUUGCCAACACCUAUACCGCUUUCAAGCUACUGCAGACACUAUCAUGCUCAAAUCCUUAAGCAUCUCCCAUUGUAUUUUCAUCUUCUAAUCUACCAAAGCCCUCAUGAUUGACCAAGCUAUAUCUUGAUUCAACUCCACCCACUUGCUCUUUACAGCAGCCCAGGCCCAUCUGUAGCUGCCGGAACAAAAAAGCCCCAACGUAAAUGACAAAACCGAAACACUAAAGCACAUCCACCAUGCUAAAUAGCCCAAAAGCUAUAUUAAACCACGACACUUUAGCCAAUACCAAGCGUACAAGCCAAUGCCCAGCAUCCAAGCAUACAAGCCAAAGCUUAGCGUACAAGCCAAUACUAAGCAUACAUGCCAAUGCCAAGCAUACACACCAAUGCCAAGCAUCCAAGCCAAUACCAAGCGUACAAGACAAAGCCAAGCAUACAAGUCAAUACCAAGCAUACAUGCCAAUGCUACGCGUAUACGCCAAUGCCAAGCAUCUAAGCCAAUACCAAGCAUACAAGCCAAAGCCAAGCGUACAAGCCAAUACCAAGCAUAUAUGAGCCCAAGAUCAAGCGUACAUGCCAAUGCCAAGCAUCCAAAUCAAAUACUAAGAAUACAUGUCAACAUCAAGCAUACAUGCCAACACCAAAUAUACACGUAAAAACCAAGGAAGCAAGCACGGAUGUUUCAUGCAUAUUGAAGAACCAGCCAUGUCAUGCCACUGCCAAUUAUUUUGGGCUGAAAUAGAUUAUUGGGCCCAUCUCACUGCCACUUCAUAGCCCCAAUAAUCAAGGGGGCUAAUGUUGAGGCCCAAAAAAGUUACGGGAAGCUCAAAGACAUUCAAAGCCUAAUAUAACCUAUAAUGUCACUCAUGCGUUAAUCCAAGCUGUAAUUUGGAUUUAAUUCAUUAAAUAAAUAUAGAAAUAGUGUACAUGCCAUACCAAAAUAAUAAUACAUUUUUUCCAUGCCAAUCACCUAUCAAGCUCACAUGAACCCAAGUCAUGUGGUUUAUGGGGCUUGCAAGAGGGAUUGUGGUGUGGAAGGUUACGGAGGUCCACAAGGUUCAUGGAAGCUCUUGAAUAAUGGAGACUUUGGGCUAGCUACUUGGGAGCACCAAAGUCCAAGCCCAUUACUUAGAGUUCUCUAAUGUGGGUGAGCAAAUGAGACAUUUUUUAAGCACUUCCUUUUAUCCAUAGGAAAUAGUCAUUUUCCAAAUAUCUAGCUUUACCCGUUGGAAACAAGCCUUUUCCAGCACUUCCUAUUACCCACUGGAAAUAAGCAGUUUCUAUUACUUCCUUUUACCAAUAGGAAAUAAUCUGUUUAUGGUACUAGCUUUACCUGCUGGAAAAUAGUAUGCCCUAGUGCUCCCUUUUAACCAUUAGAAAUAGGUUGGUUCCAGUACCUCCCUUUACCUAUUGGAAAUAAAGGAAAACCCUCACUCUCUAUAAAUUGGCACUCAUGGCUCAAGUAAAAGGCACCAAUUUUUCUUCAGCCAACACUCCCUAACUCAGCUGCUGCAAGCAUCCCAGCAGCCACCAACCCCCAUAAAGCAUCACCUAGCUCCAAGCUUUUCCUUCCUUCCAAGCUUUAAACACCAUAGCCUUCAAACCUCAAGCUUUUCCUUCCAUCAUCUUUCUCUUGAAACUCUUAAAUCCCCAUAGCCAUAGCCACACACAACAAAUUAUCAACACCAAACUCAAACAUAUCCAACACCAAGCCAAGCACAUGCAUUCUCAUUUGCUAAACUUGUGGGUCUUUAGCUCCCACACUCCAAGCUCUCAUGCCAAGCUCAUAUAAUCUCAUACCAACAUCAGCAAGUCAUCUUCAACUCUUCGUCGAGCUGCCGAAAACAUCAACGCAAAACACGCAGCCGAUGGAAGAAGAACAAAGUACUCUCCCGAGACUUGCUUCUCCCUCGGGAUACUUUGGGCCUAGUUCUCGCUAACUCAGACAAAGGGGCAACGAAGUCUUCAUUCAUCACUCUAUGGCGAUCCAAGAAUCAACAAAGCCCGGAUGAGCCUUCGGACGAAAAAGACCCCAACAGAUAUAAAAAUACCAUUUUUCCCCUGCAGUUAACAGAAAAGUUAACAGCCGGACCAUUUGUCCUAACGAAACUGAAGUUGAAGAACUACGGGAACCAUUUUGAAAAUUGAGGUACUCAAAUACAAAUCGGGUCUAAGUUCAGGGAUUAAUAAAACAAUUAACCCCUGAGUUUAUAAUGCUCGAGAGUAUAUAGGAAGAGGACACUCCAACUGGCAGCUAUGGAGGAGGCCAAGACUAGUAGUGUCUAUUCUGUGAAAGCUAACUUUGCUUUCUUAUUAUCCACAACUUAGAUAUAUCAAUGGCUUCUUGCAAGAACCUCAAUUCUUUAUGAACUUUCUGCCCUAAAAUGCUUUAUCUAAUAGCUCAGACAAUGGUGAAAGAAAAAAAAUUGUUGUUGGAAUCUUAGCAUAAUAAUAUUUUCCAGCCAAAAUCAGUUGUUAGAUUCUCCAACAGCACAAUCUCUUUUCGCAAUCACAUACUAGUCAAUCCUACAGAGCAUAAGAUCCUACUUUGAGGGGUGGAAAGGAAUGAAUUCAACUCACCACUAUUAUGACCAAGGCAAUAAUUUUCAUUUCCAUCACAUGAUUCUAGGUGACCCACAACUCCAUACCACCAACCUGCAAUAUAUACAGAAAAUCCUAUCAAGCAAUGGACAAUGGGAAAUUAAUUAAUUUCACCUUUUAUUUAAGUUUCUGCAUAUUAAACGAAUCUACUUUCAUUAUAUAUUUAAGGGAAAUGUAAGCCUUUUUUUUCGUUCUUUACCCUUUUUUUUCCUCACCUUAAUGGGGCUUGAGGAUGUUUGAAUUGUUCGCUAGAACUACUUUCAUUAUCUAUUUGAGGCAUACUUCAUGAACCACAUGGAUUCUAGGAAGUGAUAUAGACCUUUGUUUCUUUCAUUUGAGCCCUUCUAGCCAACCCGUAUCACUUUUAUCCCUUGUUAAUCACCUUGUGCCUUUUAUGUAAGCCUUUUUUUUCGUUCUUUACCCUUUUUUCCUCACCUUAAUCUAUCAUAUGUUACCCUUCUAAGGAGUUUUGUACAGUAUUUUCGUUGUUAAGGGAGAAUUGCACAACAAUCAUGUGGAAAGUAAAGGAUACUAUUUCCAAAAAAAAAACCUAAUUUCAAACCCUUUUCAACUCGAGUUAUUGAGCCCUAUGAGUGUUUUACAUUUAAUUUCGUAAAGCUAUGUAGCUUGGGAGUCAUUGGCCUAACACUCGCUGCAUGGGUUGAUUAGAAAGCUAAUGAAGAGUUAGAAAAAAAAAUUGUGAAAAAUAAAUAAAUUUCAAGACAGUAUCAAUAUGAAGUUGCGUGCUCAAAGUGCAAGAUGUUAUAAUUUUCAUGGAAAGCUCUAUGAAUUCCUUAGAAUUUGUUCAUCCAUAUCUUUUUCUUGUUUCACCCGUCACUCUAAGCCCCAUUACAACCUUAUUUGAAGACUAUUCUGCUAUUUUCUCAAGGCGUGCAAUAUAUGACUGGAAAGAUAAGAUAAAGACCUACAAUUUACAUAUUUUUUCAGAAUUUUCUCGGAGGAGGAAUGAUUCCAAACGUGGGUGCAAAGUAACUAACGUGUUAUCCUAGUCCAAGUAGGAAGAUGAGUCAAUUACUUACCCAUUUUGGAUUUAAGUUUUAAUUAGCUGUUUCUUUAUUUUUGGGCUGUUGUAAAAGGCCAGCUAAGGUAGGAAUAGACGUGUGGCAUUUUAUUUAAGCAUGAGACAACUCCUUUGGGAAGACGCAAAGACUAGGAGAAAUUGGAGACGCCGGAAGAGUACCACAAUUGGCUAAGUUUUAUUGUUUCUUCCUUAUGUUUUUGUUUAUGUCAAAUUCUAUGAUUAUGUGUAACUAAUUUUAUUUUGCUAGGGCAUGAUGUAUGCCUAGUAUGAUAAUCUAGUUUUCUUAUUUUACCUAUCUAUUGAUUGCAGUUUGAUGUUAGAUUCUUAAUCACUGUGCUUAGUACCUUAGUUGAUUACCUUGAUGCUUGAUCACCAUCUAGACUUUUAAUUGAGUUAAUCGGAUGCGAAUUAGAGUAAAUACCAUACUUAAUUUGAGGUUUGCUUCUUGUGAUUAGAAUUUGUAAUUUGUCUAAAGUAAAUACCAUACUCCUAGAAUUUACAUGCUUGUUGGAGGUUUUCACUGAUUUCAAUAUUUUCCCGACAUGUGAUGCCAACAACAUAGAUGUUUCAAUGUUUCACUAUGGAAGCAAUCACGUAAGGAUUAACAUGGCAGGACAUCAGACAUGAGAAACUAAGAAGAGAGAGAGAGAGAGAGAGAGAGACUUGCCAUUCAAGCAAGAGAAGGCCAUAACACUAUAUAGCAAUAGCACCGUAAAAUAAGAUGCAAAGAAUGAGGGGGUCAUGUUUUCAAGUACCAAAACACGCAAGGGCAUUUUGGUAAAGUACAUCUGAAAAUAAAUCAAGGCAAGCAAAGCCGUAGAUAUCCUCUUCCUGCUACACAUAGUAUUAGCCUACGUAAGGUCAUUACGGCGCCGUUUCCCUUUUUAAUUGGCGUAGUUCAACUCAUCAUCCACCCAAGUUCAUUUCGUUCAAAGCUAUAAAUAACCCCUCAAACCAUUCAACUUUCCCACCACCACUCCUCACUCCUUCAACUCAUUAACCUCUCUCUCUCUCUCUCUCUCUCUCUCUCUCUCUCUCAUCCGCAAAUGGCGAACCGUAGAAGCCUCUUUUCUCUCUCACUUAUCUUUGUGUUCAUGAUCAACUCAGCCAUAGCCACUCCAGUCACAUACAAUGUGGCCAGUUUAGGAGCCAAAGCAGAUGGCAAGACUGACUCCACAAAAGCCUUCCUCUCUGCAUGGGCUAAAGCUUGUGCCUCGAUGAAUCCCGGUGUCAUUUAUGUGCCGGCAGGAACGUUCUUUCUUCGCGAUGUGGUGUUCAGUGGGCCUUGCAAGAACAAUGCCAUCACCUUCCGCAUUGCCGGAACCCUUGUGGCCCCGUCGGAUUACCGGGUCAUCGGUAAUGCAGCUAACUGGAUUUUCUUUCACCAUGUAAACGGGGUUACCAUAUCAGGUGGAAUUCUUGACGGCCAAGGCACGGCCUUGUGGGCUUGCAAGGCCUCUCAUGGCGAGAGUUGUCCCAGCGGAGCAACGGUAAUUAAUUCACUACUUUAAAUAUCAUAUUCAUGACACCAUUAAAUAUCAAAUUCAUGACACCAUUAUUUUGUGCUUCAUUAUUAGUGAGAAUUUUAAAGGUCAACGUACGUACAAUUUGCUUUAUUAUUUGCUACCAAUUGAAUUGAGGGUUUAUAAAAUAAGUUCAAACUCCACAGAACGUAAUCAAAUGGACAUGAUAAAUUGUACCACAAGUUUAGCU